rnacentral:rRNA from 1 species
UACGUAGGGGGCAAGCGUUGUCCGGAUUUAUUGGGCGUAAAGAGCGUGUAGGCGGCCAGGUAGGUCAGCUGUGAAACUCGAGGCUCAACCUCGAGACGUCGGUUGAAACCACCUGGCUAGAGUCCGGAAGAGGAGAGUGGAAUUCCUGGUGUAGCGGUGAAAUGCGCAGAUAUCAGGAAGAACACCCGUGGCGAAGGCGGCUCUCUGGGACGGUACUGACGCUGAGACGCGAAAGCGUGGGGAGCGAACAGG